rnacentral:rRNA from 1 species
UACGAAGGGGGCUAGCGUUGCUCGGAAUUACUGGGCGUAAAGCGCACGUAGGCGGCUCUUUAAGUCGGGGGUGAAAUCCUGGAGCUCAACUCCAGAACUGCCUUCGAUACUGAAGAGCUCGAGUCCGGGAGAGGUGAGUGGAACUGCGAGUGUGGAGGUGAAAUUCGUAGAUAUUCGCAAGAACACCAGUGGCGAAGGCGGCUCACUGGCCCGGUACUGACGCUGAGGUGCGAAAGCGUGGGGAGCAAACAGG